rnacentral:rRNA from 1 species
AGAGUUUGAUCCUGGCUCAGAAUCAACGCUGGCGGCGCGCCUAACACAUGCAAGUCGAACGAGAAAGGGGAGCAAUCCCUGAGUACAGUGGCGUACGGGUGAGUAACACGUGGAUGAUCUACCCCUUAGUUUGGAAUAACCAUGGGAAACCGUGGCUAAUACCGGAUAAGCUCGAGAGAGGAAAGCAGCAAUGCGCUGAGGGAGGAGUCCGCGGCCGAUUAGCUAGUUGGCAGGGUAAAAGCCUACCAAGGCAAAGAUCGGUAGCCGGCCUGAGAGGGCACACGGCCACACUGGCACUGAAACACGGGCCAGACUCCUACGGGAGGCAGCAGUGGGGAAUCUUGCACAAUGGGGGAAACCCUGAUGCAGCGACGCCGCGUGAGCGAUGAAGCCCUUUGGGGUG